rnacentral:rRNA from 1 species
UGGUGGCGACCGGCGCACGGGUGAGUAACGCGUAUGCAACCCACUUAUCAGAGGGGAAUAACCCGGCGAAAGUCGGACUAAUACCGCAUAAAACAGGGACACCGCAUGGUGAUAUUUGUUAAAGAAAUUCGCUGAUAGAUGGGCAUGCGUUCCAUUAGGUAGUUGGUGAGGUAACGGCUCACCAAGCCGACGAUGGAUAGGGGAACUGAGAGGUUGGUCCCCCACACUGGUACUGAGACACGGACCAGACUCCUACGGGAGGCAGCAGUGAGGAAUAUUGGUCAAUGGGCGAGAGCCUGAACCAGCCAAGUCGCGUGAAGGAAGAAGGAUCUAUGGUUCGUAAACUUCUUUUGCAGGGGAAUAAAGUGCAGGACGUGUCCUGUUUUGUAUGUACCCUGAGAAUAAGGAUCGGCUAACUCCGUGCCAGCAGCCGCGGUAAUACGGAGGAUCCGAGCGUUAUCCGGAUUUAUUGGGUUUAAAGGGUGCGUAGGUGGUUUGAUAAGUCAGCGGUGAAAGUUUGCAGCUUAACUGUAAAAAUGCUGUUGAAACUGUCGGACUUGAGUGUAAAUGAGGUAGGCGGAAUGCGUGGUGUAGCGGUGAAAUGCUUAGAUAUCACGAAGAACUCCGAUUG